CCUCAGUAUGAGAUUUUACUUCUCACCAAUUUUGAUAGUAUUCGAGAGUCGAAACACAAUAACGUGAAAGUGAAAUGGAUCUAAAGGUCAUUGAUUUAAUGUAAAAAAUUCAGUUCGAUUGAUUUUUAUU